rnacentral:rRNA from 1 species
AGCGAACGCUGGCGGCAGGCCUAACACAUGCAAGUCGAGCGCCGUAGCAAUACGGAGCGGCAGACGGGAGAGUAACACGUGGGAACGUACCCUUUGGUUCGGAACAACCCCGGGAAACUUGGGCUAAUACCGGAUAAGCCCUUACGGGGAAAGAUUUAUCGCCGAAGGAUCGGCCCGCGUCUGAUUAGCUAGUUGGUGGGGUAAUGGCCCACCAAGGCGACGAUCAGUAGCUGGUCUGAGAGGAUGAUCAGCCUCACUGGGACUGAGACACGGCCCAGACUCCUACGGGAGGCAGCAGUGGGGAAUAUUGGACAAUGGGCGCAAGCCUGAUCAGCCAUGCCGCGUGGGUGAUGAAGGCCCUAGGGUUGUAAAGCCCUUUCGGCGGGGAAGAUAAUGACGGUACCCGCAGAAGAAGCCCCGGCUAACUUCGUGCCAGCCGCCGCGGUAACAC